AUUGAACGCUGGCGGCAUGCCUUACACAUGCAAGUCGAACGGUAACAGGUCUUCGGAUGCUGACGAGUGGCGAACGGGUGAGUAAUACAUCGGAACGUGCCCGAUCGUGGGGGAUAACGAAGCGAAAGCUUAGCUAAUACCGCAUACGAUCUACGGAUGAAAGCAGGGGACCGCAAGGCCUUGCGCGAACGGAGCGGCCGAUGGCAGAUUAGGUAGUUGGUGGGAUAAAAGCUUACCAAGCCGACGAUCUGUAGCUGGUCUGAGAGGACGACCAGCCACACUGGGACUGAGACACGGCCCAGACUCCUACGGGAGGCAGCAGUGGGGAAUUUUGGACAAUGGGCGAAAGCCUGAUCCAGCCAUGCCGCGUGCAGGAUGAAGGCCUUCGGGUUGUAAACUGCUUUUGUACGGAACGAAAAGACUCUGGUUAAUACCUGGGGUCCAUGACGGUACCGUAAGAAUAAGCACCGGCUAACUACGU
rnacentral:rRNA from 1 species